AUGGGAGGUGGUGCAGCAGAUCACGGUAACGGCGGCAAUGGAGAUUUCAGAUACAAGGUUUGGAGUAUGACCGGUGGCCCUCACUGUCGCCCUAAACACUGGAAACGCAACACCGCCAUCGCCAUGUUCGGCGUCUUCCUUGUCUGCAUCCCAAUCUUCAAACUUUCCGCUAAACUCGAGCAACGACCACAUCACCCGGUUCGCCCAAUCCCUUCCCAAAUGUGGUGCAAGAACUUCGGAACCAAAGACUAUAAAGAAUACGAAUAA